AGCAGCCGCGGUAAUUCCAGCUCCAAUAGCGUAUAUUAAAGUUGUUGCAGUUAAAAAGCUCGUAGUUGAAUUUCGGGAUCAGUAGGUCGGUCAUGCCUCAGGUAUGUACUGGUCUCACUGGUUCCUCCUUCCUGAUGAACCGUAAUGCCAUUAAUUUGGUGUUGCGGGGAAACUGGACUGUUACUUUGAAAAAAUUAGAGUGUUUAAAGCAGGCUAACGCUUGAAUACAUUAGCAUGGAAUAAUGAAAUAGGACGUUCGAUCCUAUUUUGUUGGUUUCUAGGAUUGACGUAAUGAUUAAUAGGGAUAGUUGGGGGCAUUAGUAUUCAAUUGUCAGAGGUGAAAUUCUUGGAUUUAUUGAAGACUAACUACUGCGAAAGCAUUUGCCAAGGAUGUUUUCAUUAAUCAAGAACGAAAGUUAGGGGAUCGAAGACGAUCAGAUACCGUCGUAG
rnacentral:rRNA from 1 species